UGGCCUUUUGUGUUACUUAACCAGUUGGAC
rnacentral:piRNA from 1 species